rnacentral:rRNA from 1 species
UACGUAGGGGGCGAGCGUUGUCCGGAAUUAUUGGGCGUAAAGCGCGCGCAGGCGGUCUCUUAAGUCUGAUGUGAAAGCCCACGGCUCAACCGUGGAGGGUCAUUGGAAACUGGGGGACUUGAGGGCAGGAGAGGAGAGCGGAAUUCCACGUGUAGCGGUGAAAUGCGUAGAGAUGUGGAGGAACACCAGUGGCGAAGGCGGCUCUCUGGCCUGUACCUGACGCUGAGGCGCGAAAGCGUGGGGAGCAAACAGG